rnacentral:rRNA from 1 species
UCGGGGUGCCCAGGCGCGAAAACUUUACAACGCUGGAAACCGUGAUAAGGGAACUCCGAGUGCCCGGAAAAUCGUCUUGUCCUUCUGUUUACAUAACAGGUGAACAAAGGGCCGGGCGGGACCGAUGCCAGCCGCCCCCCUAAUACCGGCGGCUCGAUUGGUGGCCACUAUUACUGGUCUUAAAUCAUUCGUAUCUGGCCUGUUAAGUCUCUGGCUAAAUCUACUGGCUUACCCAAUAGGCGUUUCUUGGAUACUGACUGACUAGGUACCGGCAGAGAUAAGGGAUACUCCCUGCGUGGGAGUGAAAUCCUGUUUUCCUUGCUGGACCACCUGUGGCGAAGGAGCCUCUCUCAAACGGACUCCAACUGUGAGGGACGAAAGCUGGGGGAGCGAACCAGAUUAAAUACCCCGGUAGUCCCACCCGUACACAAUCCACGUUCGGUGUGUGUCUGACCACGAGUCACCGAGGUGCCUAACAGAAAUCAUGAAUCAUGCCACCUGCCAGGUACGGUCGCACGGCUGAAUCUUACUUGAAUUGAUUGGGGAGCACAC